rnacentral:misc_RNA from 1 species
UCCGGUUUGGCACCGGCAGUCUCCCUAGAGUUCCCGGCAUGACCCGCUGGCAACUAAGGACAGGGGUUGCGCUCGUUGCGCCACUUAAGGCAACACCUCACGGCACGAGCUGACGACAGCCAUGCACCACCUGUGCAGGCUCCGAAGAGCGCCCGCUUUCACGGGUUUCACCCUGCAUGUCAAGCCCAGGUAAGGUGGGGAUGACGUUUCGCAACUAACCA